UUUUCUCAUCUGUACACAAAAAGUCAGUACAAGUGCUGGGCUAUUAAUCACUGUUAUUUCUGCUUCAGCUCAUAACUCAGAGCCUCAGUGCAGUUACUGAGUCUCUACAGAAGCCUUUUUGUUCACACCUGCGUAGAAUUUCUUCCCUUUUUAUAUUCACUGACAUUAGGAUCAGCAGAUAAUGAGAAAUCCCCAUUCUGUUUGCACUCUGUGUUACAGAGCAUGUCUCUAGCAGGCUGCUGUUUGACAUUCAUAGGCAUGGGUUGCUAGGGGUUUUUUUAUUUACAUAUAUAUAUAUAUAGACCUGUUUCUAGAUUACCUGUUACAUAUAUAUAGAGAGAGACCUAUUUCAACCACUGAUUUCUGGGGGCACUAUUAGCUUCCUGCUGUAGCCUGCCAGCCAGACCUCUUCGGAGGUCACCCUGCUGCAGGGAUGCAUCUUUCCUUGCACCAGCUCCUGGGAAGAGGACUCCCAGCCCCUAAGUGGUCAUGCAGGUCACCUACAGUGCUGCCUUCUGCUCUCAUGUGUCACUGAGAAGGGAAUGUGGCGGCAUCUUGUGACGGAAAGAAAAGGAAUUUGAGAUUGCAUCUCCCAAGUGAUCUGGCCUCAUGUUUGGUGCCAUUUGCUCUGUGACACUGAGCUCUUCACCAUGUUCUGCAUGUUUCUGCUUCAGGUCAAUGGGCUGAAAAAAAGAGCUUGAGGACACCAAGAGAGAAAUGGCUCCUGCUGCUGCGCUUCCGGGCACUGCAGGGAUCGUCCAGCCACCACCAGCACCUCUGCUGCCAGGGAGCUCCAGCACCCCUCUGCCUCCACCAGGAGUGGCCGUUCUCCCCCCUUCAGCUGGCUUCGGAUUCAGGGCAGCCUCCGCACCUCGGGUGCGUCCGUGGGGAUUGUCCCCACAGCGGGUUCGUGAGCCAGCAGUACAGCUGCAGAGGCCGAACUGGACCAAGCAAAAUGAAGACUUUUGCU
rnacentral:lncRNA from 1 species